UAUUGUGUUCUUGCUGAAGCUCACAGUUAUUUAUCCUUUUGUGUUUUCCUUUCUAGGUGACUUCAAGUCCUUGCCUCAGAGCGCUGGUAGCUUUCAGCCCUGGCUCAAAGUCUCUGCUUUGCAUCUUGUCAAAGUUCCCAAGCUUCCAAGUAAUUUACCUGGAUCAAGUACUGGCUGACAGCUCUAAGCCUUCGUCCUCCUUCAAGCGAACCCUGCUCACCUAUUCACAAUCCACAUCCAGCUUCUUGAAACCUCAACAGAAUGCAGGAUGAAGAGGAAACACAGGUCGUCUGUUCUCAGUGAGGAAGAAUCAUCAGAACGAUGCAGGACCAAAACAUGCAAAGAUACCAUCAUGAAAACACUGCAGAGGAGAGGGUAUGCUCCUGUCCUUUUAGCUCUCCAUGAAAAUCUGCUCAGCUUGUCUGAGGAAAGUGGAACCAGCAGAACCUCCCUACACCUGCUGCAGCAUAUUCUAUGGAGGUGCCUGGUGUCUGUCUGGGGCCUCCUGGAGCCGAGGCUACCUGUGCCUUGCUGCCCCUGGGUGCCCCUUGAGUGCUGCAAGGUUGCUACCCUUCUUAAUAUUCUAACUACUUUGCCAAUCCAGGUGACAAAAUAAAUGGUAAAUGGACUGAAAGAACACGCAUUGACAAAACUGUUGGUACCCCUCUGUUAAUAAACAAAAAACCCA